GCCGCACACCCCCUAUGCUUCACUGAUGAAGUAAUGGAUCAUGGAUUCCCAGAAGGGUUUAAACCCAUAAACAUUGAAUCAUAUGAUGGUACCACAGACCUCGCGGUAUGGAUUGAAGAUUUUCUCCUACACAUUCACAUGGCCCGCGGAAAUGAUCUACACGCCAUCAAGUAUCUCCCACUAAAGCUCAAGGGACCAACUCAACAUUGGCUGAAUAGCUUCCCGGCAAACUCCAUCGGUAGCUGGGAGAACAUGGAGGAUGCAUUCCUCGACAACUUCCAAGGCACUUAUGUGCGAUCGCGGAUGCUGAUGACCUAA
rnacentral:rRNA from 1 species